rnacentral:rRNA from 1 species
UACGUAGGGCGCAAGCGUUAUCCGGAAUUAUUGGGCGUAAAGAGCUCGUAGGCGGUUUGUCGCGUCUGCCGUGAAAGUCCGGGGCUCAACUCCGGAUCUGCGGUGGGUACGGGCAGACUAGAGUGAUGUAGGGGAGACUGGAAUUCCUGGUGUAGCGGUGAAAUGCGCAGAUAUCAGGAGGAACGACCGAUGGCGAAGGCAGGUCUCUGGGCAUUAACUGACGCUGAGGAGCGAAAGCAUGGGGAGCGAACAGG